AAUUCAGAAGUAAAGGUGUC
rnacentral:piRNA from 1 species